rnacentral:rRNA from 1 species
AGUGAACGCUGGCGGCGUGCUUAACACAUGCAAGUCGAACGAGAACGGAUUAUAGCUUGCUAUAAUUGUCAGCUAAGUGGCGCACGGGUGAGUAAUGUAUAGGUAAUAUGCCUCUUACUAAGGGAUAACAAAUGGCAACGUUUGCUAAUACCUUAUACUCCUUAUUAACAGAAGUUAAUAAGGGAAAGAUUUAUUGGUAAGAGAUUAGCAUGUAUUGUAUCAGUUAGUUGGUGGGGUAAUGGCUUACCAAGACUAUGACACAUAACUGGUUUGAGAGGAUGAUCAGUCUCACUGGAACUGAGACACGGUCCAGACUCCUACGGGAGGCAGCAGUGGGGAAUAUUGCACAAUGGACGAAAGUCUGAUGCAGCAACGCCGCGUGGAGGAUGACACAUUUCGGUGCGUAAACUCCUUUUAUAUGAGAAGAUAAUGACGGUAUUAUAUGAAUAAGCACCGGCUAACUCCGUGCCAGCAGCCGCCGUAAGAC